rnacentral:rRNA from 1 species
GAUGAACGCUGGCGGCGUGCCUAAUACAUGCAAGUCGAACGCUGGAAAUCUAGCUUGCUCGAUUGAAGGAGUGGCGAACGGGUGAGUAAUACAUAAGCAACCUACCCACGAAGACUGGGAUAAUCUCUGGAAACGGGGACUAAUACCGGAUAGGUAAUCGGAAGGCAUCUUCUGAUUAUUAAAGGUUAAAAACACUGGUGGAUGGGCUUAUGGCGCAUUAGUUAGUUGGUGAGGUAACGGCCCACCAAGACGAUGAUGCGUAGCCGGCCUGAGAGGGUGAACGGCCACAUUGGGACUGAGACACGACCCAGACUCCUACGGGAGGCAGCAGUAGGGAAUUUUCGGCAAUGGGGGAAACCCUGACCGAGCAACGCCGCGUGAGUGAUGACGGCCUUCGGGUUGUAAAGCUCUGUUGUAAGGGAAGAACGGUAGAUAGAGAAUAUCUAAAUGACGGUACCUUACCAGAAAGCCACGGCUAACUACGUG